CAUGGAGGGUGAGAAUCCCGUUCGGCUGACCUUAUGACGUUUUACGAUACGCUUUCAAAGAGUCGAGUUGUUUGGGAUUGCAGCUCAAAAUGGGAGGUAAAUUUCUCCUAAGGCUAAAUAUUGGCGAGAGACCGAUAGCGAACAAGUACCGUGAGGGAAAGAUGAAAAGAACUUUGAAAAGAGAGUAAAAUAGUACGUGAAAUUGUUGAAAGGGAAACGAUUGAAGUCAGUCGUACCGACGAGAAAUCAACUCUUCGAGUGCGGGCUUGUGGGCAUGCGGGUGUCUCGUUGUUUGCAACGUCUGUGCUUUUUGGGUGUACUUUUUCGUAUGGUAGGCCAACAUCAGUUUCGAUUAUCAUAAAAUGGCCGGAGGAAUGUAGCUUCGAUUUCGGUUGAAGUGUUAUAGCCUUUGGUAGAUGUGGUGAUGGAGACUGAGGAUUGCAACGAAUACCCUUCGGGCUAUCCGUCUGACCUCUGAAAGUUGCUUAGGUGCCGAAAGCGUGCUUACGGUCAUUUAACGCGACGGUCAAAAGGUUAGAACGUGAUUACAUUCGUUAAGGAUGUUGACGUAAUGG
rnacentral:rRNA from 1 species